CCAAUGGUUACAUCAAGCCAUUUUUUUGGUUAAGAGCAAUGAACAGAGGCUAAGAUUGAAGAGCUAGUUCAUUCCACCGUUUAAUAGUAGAGUGAUUCUGUCGACCAGUCAUCAUUUUUGUUUGUUGCCAAGUCCUAAGAUGGAAAAAGUUGCAGACUUAUGAUAAUUGUAAAAUCGGUAAUGGUGUAUGUUGCGAGGUGUGUUUGUUACACAGAAAUAUAGUUGUAUGCAGUUGGAGAUAUAAAGUCAGUUAGAGUUUCUCCUUUUUGUCUAUUACAUAUGGCUUCUUUUGAGAGAUCAACUUGCUAGACAUGA